rnacentral:sRNA from 1 species
GCUGCGGGCUGGUGUUAUGGCAGCUGCGCGGAACCGCAAGAGGCGCCUGGCGGAGCUGACGGUGGACGAGUUCCUAGCUUCGGGCUUUGACUCCGAGUCCGAAUCCGAGUCCGAAAACUCCCCAGAAGCGGAGACGCGGGAGGCACGCGAGGCUGCCCGGAAUCCGGAUGAACCGGGCGGGAGCCCCUCGGCCAGGUGAGUGGGGACAUGCGUGAGCAGAACCUCCUUGCUCGUCCUGUCCCACCCCGCCACAAUGUUGCCGACCUCGCCUGGGGUCUCAGGGCCAAGGCCUAAGGAUCGCCGACCUCCCCAGUCCUUUCAGCUUAACUUACUUUUUCAUCCGAUGUUUAACUGAGCUCCUGUUCCGUGCCAAACCCUGUCCUAGGGAGGGAGCGUAUGUUGGCGAGUUCUGCAAAAAUCUCUUCCCGAUCUAGGAGAACUCUCACGUUUUUGGGUGAAAUCACCACCUGCAGUUCAGUAGAAGAGAGAUAAGUGCUGGGGAGGGAAAGGAAGGACAGAGAGGCUGGAGAGAGGGUUGCAGGGGAGCCGAGUUGCUCUGUUAGAAGGAGCGGAGGCUGGGCGCGGUGGCUCACGCCUGUAAUGCUAGCACUUUGGGAGGCCGAGGCGGGCAGAUCACCUGACCAACACGGAGAAAUCCCGUCUCUACUAAAAAUAUAAACAUUAGCCGGGCGUGGUGGGCACCUAUAAUCCCAACUACUCGGGAGGCUGAGGCAGGAGAAUCGCUUGAACUUGGGAGGCGGAGGUUGCAGUGAGCUGAGAUGGCACCAUUGCAUUCCAGCCUGGGUGAGAGAGUGAGACUCCACCUCAAAAAGAA